rnacentral:rRNA from 1 species
GACGAACGCUGGCGGCGUGCUUAACACAUGCAAGUCGAACGGAAAGGCCCUGCUUUUGUGGGGUGCUCGAGUGGCGAACGGGUGAGUAACACGUGAGUAACCUGCCCUUGACUUUGGGAUAACUUCAGGAAACUGGGGCUAAUACCGGAUAGGAGCUCCUGCUGCAUGGUGGGGGUUGGAAAGUUUCGGCGGUUGGGGAUGGACUCGCGGCUUAUCAGCUUGUUGGUGGGGUAGUGGCUUACCAAGGCUUUGACGGGUAGCCGGCCUGAGAGGGUGACCGGCCACAUUGGGACUGAGAUACGGCCCAGACUCCUACGGGAGGCAGCAGUGGGGAAUAUUGCACAAUGGGCGGAAGCCUGAGGCAGCAACGCCGCGUGCGGGAUGACGGCCUUCGGGUGGUAAACCGCUUUCGCCUGUGACGAAGCGUGAGUGACGGUAAUGGGUAAAGAAGCACCGGCUAACUACGU